ensembl:lncRNA
GCCGGAUUCUAUUCAGAAUAUCUAUUCGUUCCAGAUUAUUAUUUCUGAACAUUUGACCGUUCACGAGAAAUAAUAAUCAUGACCGAGAAACGCAGAUCAUGUGAGUAACUGUUAGCACAACUCAUUGAUAUUGCGACACUGUCUAUCGACUCUCGCCCUGCUCAGUGGACCCAGGGCCGUCCGGGAGGAUUUAAGGGGCUGCGCCUCCUGUCACAUGUUCCCCGCGGCUCUCCUCCACCCUCUGCUGGGCAAGAAGGAGGAGGGACAGGUGGUGCACCCACAACGGGCUAGCCAAACUUUUGGUGUUCAAUGACACGUUUUGGUGAAGUGAGGGUAUCGUUCCAAGUAAAUAACGGUCAAAAGCAGAAAUUUAUUUAUACUCAACUACCAGCACCAGAACGUGCAACUGAACUGCAGAAUCAUGCAGGUGCACCGCGGCGGGUAAGAGGAGCUCUGUUCGUCUGGUGCUCCUCCUCCUCGAGGGCCCGUCUCUUCAGCCUCACGCUCACGCGCUGACUGUCAGACAUCUGAAAGGAGACGCUUGUGUUGUGUGAACUUGACAGAGCGCCUGACCCUGCAACUUUGAUCAGUGACCCGUCGACUGUGAUGGACUCGGUCCUGCAAACGCACCCGUCAGCUGCUCGCUGAUGAGCUCCUGUUGUUGAUUCAACAGAGCGGGUUGCUGUGAUCUGCUGAUGCUACUUUGAGUAAUUAAAUAACAUGAAAAAAUAUUUCAGUGCCACUUCUU